rnacentral:rRNA from 1 species
AUGGGCUACGCCCGCAAAGUGUUCGACGGAAUCCCCCACCUGGACCUCUUCAUGCACAACGUCAUGGUCCGCGGCUACGCACACGGCGGCGCGCCGGCCGCGGCCUUCGUUUUGUACCGACGCAUCGGGGCGGCGAGCCUGAGGCCCGACGCCUUCACGUUCUGCUACCUCCUCCGGGCCAGCGCUGGCUUGCCGGGUUCCUGCGCCGGGUACCAGGUCCACGGCGUCGUCCUGAAGCUGGGCUUCUUGAGUGACGCGUUCGUGAGGAAUGCGGUCAUCAACAUGCACGCCAAGUGCGGGGAUUUGCAGGUGGCCGGCGCGCUUCUUGAUGAGGCCGGCGAGGGGGAUGUCGUGGCGUGGUCGGCUGUCAUAGCGGGGCAUGCCGCUAGAGGUGACUUGGGCAUUGCACGCCAACUGUUUGAUGAUUGUCGGCACAAAGACUUGGUGUGUUGGAAUGUGAUGGUGGCAGCGUAUGCUAAGCAUGGGGAGAUGGAGAAGGCGAGGGAGCUGAUUGACCGUGCGCCAGAGACAGAUGUGGUUUCGUGGAACACGAUUAUCACUGGGUACGCCGCGAAGGGGAUGCUGAAGGAAGCACUGGAUGUGCUUGAUGAAAUGAAGUGUGCUGGCUGGAUGCCUGAUGAGGCCACUAUUGUUAGCUUGCUUUCCUGUUGUGCGAACUUAGGGUCGCUUGACACAGGGAGGAUGAUACAUUCAUUACACUUGGAAGGUAGACCAUGUACAAGUAUUGUUCUUGGAAAUGCAUUGGUAUCAAUGUAUGCAAAGUGCGGAGAUCUGCAGGCUGCAUUGGAAGUCUUUAGCAGGACGAAGGAGAGGGAUGUUUGGACAUGGAACUCGAUCAUCGGCGGGCUGGCCUUCCAUGGGCAAGCAGAACAGUCCAUCCACUUCUUCAAUAAAAUGCUUCAAGAAGGAAUGUGCCCAAAUGCUAUUUCUUUCCUCUGUGUUCUCGGUGCAUGCAGUCAUGCCGGAUUAGUUGAAGAUGGUCAGAGAUAUUUCUCUUUGAUGAAAGACAGGUACAAGAUCGAGCAAAAUGCAAAGCACUACAGUUGCAUAGUGGAUAUGCUUGGCCGUGCAGGCUUACUGGAUGAAGCAUUUGCAAUUCUGAGCAGCAUGAGGUGUGAACCUAGUGCAGUCAUAUGGAGGACUCUGCUUGGUGCCUGCAAGACCACGGGAAUGCAGCCUUGGCAAACUUGCCAGGGAGAGGCUUCUAAAAAUGAAUGA